rnacentral:rRNA from 1 species
UACGAAGGGGGCUAGCGUUGUUCGGAAUCACUGGGCGUAAAGGGCGCGUAGGCGGCGCGACAAGUCAGGCGUGAAAGCCCCGGGCUCAACCCGGGAAUUGCGCUUGAUACUGUCGUGCUUGAGGCCGGGAGAGGAUGGCGGAAUUCCCAGUGUAGAGGUGAAAUUCGUAGAUAUUAGGAAGAACACCAGUGGCGAAGGCGGCUCACUGGCCCGGUACUGACGCUGAGGCGCGAAAGCUAGGGGAGCAAACAGG